CGCGGGGUGGAGCAGCCUGGUAGCUCGUCGGGCUCAUAACCCGAAGGUCGUCGGUUCAAAUCCGGCCCCCGCAAUCA
rnacentral:tRNA from 4 species